GAUGAACGCUGGCGGCGUGCCUAAUACAUGCAAGUCGAGCGGACAGACGAGGAGCUUGCUCCUCUGACGUUAGCGGCGGACGGGUGAGUAACACGUGGAUAACCUACCUAUAAGACUGGUAUAACUUCGGGAAACCGGAGCUAAUACCGGAUAAUAUAUUGAACCGCAUGGUUCAAUAGUGAAAGACGGUUUUGCUGUCACUUAUAGAUGGAUCCGCGCCGCAUUAGCUAGUUGGUAAGGUAACGGCUUACCAAGGCAACGAUGCGUAGCCGACCUGAGAGGGUGAUCGGCCACACUGGAACUGAGACACGGUCCAGACUCCUACGGGAGGCAGCAGUAGGGAAUCUUCCGCAAUGGGCGAAAGCCUGACGGAGCAACGCCGCGUGAGUGAUGAAGGUCUUCGGAUCGUAAAACUCUGUUAUUAGGGAAGAACAAAUGUGUAAGUAACUAUGCACGUCUUGACGGUACCUAAUCAGAAAGCCACGGCUAACUACGUG
rnacentral:rRNA from 1 species